UUCUGCGUGAGGCCAAACCCUCCAUUUGUGCAGGAGGUCUCUCCCUUGGCCAGCUACUCAAGGACAAGGAGCAGUCCUUCUCUCCUUUGUCGCCGCUUUCUUCCUUCUCUAUGGGGUGACUCCCAUCGGCACACAUGCACGCUGUCAUUUCUCCCAUCUUUAGAAACACCUCUCGUCUCCACGCACUUCCCUAAUGACCACCAUGUUUCUCAGGCCCCUUUACAGAAAACCUGUUUGAAGAGGCAUCAAAACUGUUCAUCUUGGCCGGAAGCGGUGGCUCACACCUGUAAUCCCAGCACUUCGGGAGGCUGAGAAUCUAAAUCCCAUGAAGACAGGGACACUGCUUUGCUGCCUGCUAUGUCCCCAGCACUUAGAACAGUGCCUGGCACAUCACAGAGCCUCAAUAAUAUUUGCUGAAUGAAUGAGCAGGACAGUGCCCAUUCAUUUCGAAGUGAGCCAAGCCGAUGAUACAACUGUCCCCUGCAGCCCUUCCCCGCCCUUGAUCUUCCCUCACCCACCUACCGGGAUGGCAG